rnacentral:rRNA from 1 species
CACGUAGGGUGCAAGCGUUGUCCGGAUUUAUUGGGCGUAAAGGGCUCGUAGGCGGUUCGACAAGUCGGGUGUGAAACCUCCAGGCUCAACCUGGAGUCGCCACCCGAAACUGUUGUGACUAGAGUCCGGUAGAGGAGUGUGGAAUUUGUGGUGUAGCGGUGAAAUGCGCAGAUAUCACAAGGAACACCAGUAGCGAAGGCGACACUCUGGGCCGGAACUGACGCUGAGGAGCGAAAGCAUGGGGAGCAAACAGG